rnacentral:rRNA from 1 species
GAUGAACGCUAGCGGCAGGCCUAACACAUGCAAGUCGAGGGGCAGCAUAGUAAGUAGCAAUACUUGCGGAUGGCGACCGGCGCACGGGUGCGUAACGCGUAUGCAACCUACCCGUAACAGGGGGAUAAUCCGAAGAAAUUUGGUCUAAUAUCCCAUAAUAUGACCGAGGGCAUCCUUGGUGAUUGAAAGAUUCGUUGGUUACGGAUGGGCAUGCGUUGUAUUAGCUAGUUGGUAAGGUAACGGCUUACCAAGGCUACGAUACAUAGGGGAACUGAGAGGUUAACCCCCCACACUGGUACUGAGACACGGACCAGACUCCUACGGGAGGCAGCAGUGAGGAAUAUUGGUCAAUGGACGGAAGUCUGAACCAGCCAUGCCGCGUGCAGGAUGACGGCUCUAUGAGUUGUAAACU